AGCGACCUUCGGGGCAGGGUGAGUCCGUCGUCCUGACGGGCAAUUCCCGACCGGCGGUAACAGCGUGAGCUGGAGCCCGCGACUCGCAGCCGCCUUUGCGGCUGCGAUGGAUCCGGUCCCUGAUCCACCUCGAUAGAGGCCGUCGCCACCGAUGAGCGGUGAGGCAGCAGGGUGGGUCGGGUGACGAAGCCGGAGCCGACGGUAGAGUCCGGAUGGGAGAAGGUCUGG
rnacentral:ncRNA from 1 species